rnacentral:misc_RNA from 1 species
CAAGUAUAGAUACUUCAAAUGCAAGCACAUAUUUACCAUAAUUGAAAUGCUACAAUAAAAGAUCUCCAAACACUGACAACAAUAUACAUUUGACUUGCUUGUCAUCCUGUUCUAUCUACCAACAAUCCCAAUCAAUAUCUACUUUCAGAGUCAUAUACACUCACUCCCAAGCACAGCAAUCACAAAAUUUCAUGUAGACUUCCAAAAGAAACACACCUCAAAAAUCAGCAAGAUUACAUGUAGAUAUGGAAUCACCUGUCAUAGAACUAUUGCGGUCACAAUGUUUGCCUUUUCAGGCCCGCCAAAAGAGCAAGGAGAAUCUUCUUUCUUGGUCCCUGCCAAUUAAGCAGCCUUGAUAAGACAGACAGGAAUACCAACAUAUAUUUGUAUAUAUACCGAAUUGAUACAGUAUCAUGAAUGAUACCAAGUAGUGAACAGAAACAAAUAUCGAUGGCCAAACAAAUGUUUUUAUAAAAGCUAUAGGCAUUGCAUAAAAGAAGCUAAAGCAAUACCAUAGGUAUCCCCAUUUCUUUGAGGUCUCUGUCCCCCAUCUGCCUCAAUAUAGUCAUGUCUACCUAUAAAACAAAUAAAACAAGAGUUAAACAAGCUGACACUAUAAUGAAAGUAGCCGAAGACCAAAUAGCAAAGCUCUAAAAAGAAACCAAAAAAAUUGCUUAAUUCAGCACAGAAUGCACAGAGUGAAAAAAUAAAAUCACAGGAGAAGGCCACAUGUAGGAAUAUGCAACAUAACAUCAUUGAUGCAUCUACAUCAACAUUAGUAACUACUAACCACCACUCCAACUGCUUCAAAAUGAGUUGAAAUGUUGAUACCUGGAAAGAAGAACAUUAAUGUUAUGGUUCCUAUACUCCAUAUAGAAUAUUUGCAUCUUUGUCCUACUCCACAAACCAACCAACCAUACAUUUGUAAUUGAACAACUCUCUUAUAAAAUUCUAUUAAAAAAAAAAAAUGAAACUCUCUUUCUCUGCCACUGAUACAUUUCUAAGCUACUGCUCAAGAAGCAUAAAGUUGCAUCUUCCUGCUCACACUUGCUCAUGGCAAUCUUUUCAUAUUUUCUCUUCAAAGCAUAUAUUUUAUCUACUCUGUCUUUAUCAGAACUUGAAACACAAAGCUCAUAAUUUCUUCCACUGCACAAUUAGAACAGAUAAAAGUACCCAUAAACUUCAAAUAACGUCAAACAUUAAAGAACUGGGUAGCUUACUUCUUCUGCUUCAAAAUUAACAACGUAUUUCCCCAAACCAAGAGAGUGCAGGAAGCCGGCAAGAGUUUGAGGUUCCUCCCCCAUAUGUGAUACUGUUUGAGCGAUGCCAAUUGCUGGUGCUGCCCUUGUUACUAGAUUGCCAGCUUGAGAGCUAGCUUUCAUUAUGACUGGAGGAGUGCCAGUCCAUCUAGAGGCAUCAAGAAUCUCAUCACUCAAAAACCGUCCACCUCUUGAAAGAUCAGGUGUCCUUAGGGAUGUUACUUUCCGAAUUUCUUCGUCAUAAUUUCCAGGUGGUGAAAGCCUGCUAUAACUUUUUAAAAUUUAAUCUGGGGAUCUAACCCUUGAUCCUCCAAUAGGCUGAUAUUAUUCAAAUUUCCCCAAUGAGUCCACCUUACGCAUAUCAUCUGCAAUUUCUUUAGGAAGAAUUUGCCUUGAAACUUUGCUUCCAUCAUGUGCAGGCCCAUGUGGCAGCAUGUAAGAACUCACAGAAGAACUUGUUGGAGGGUGAAUGACUUUCACCAGUUUUUUGUGUGGGUCUAUUUUCCCUUCCUCCUCUACAACAUUGUGAAUUUUCUUAGAUAACCUUUUGUGCAUCAGCUUCAAUCGAAGAUCAUUUUGGGCAAUUUGGGAUCCAUUAACUCCAUUAACGACAGGACCCUGCAUCAUACCAUCCCCUCUAUUCCUUUUGUUGGCGGAAAACAAGAAGCUAUCACCACUACGCUCAAAUCCCUCUCCUCUAGGCCUUUUACCUCCCUUUGUCACCACCUGACCGGUGCGGCCGAGAGUGAUGGUGACCUCAGGGCUGGACAUUAUUGUGAGGAGGACAAAAAGAGAUGGAGAUGGAAAUUCAAAGAGAAAUUUAACUAAAUUUCAUCCAAAAAUGAGCAUUAAACAGCAGAAUUGGAGAUGAUUCAGUGCUACAUUUGUCAAAAGUGAAGGAAAAGACAAAGAAAAGAGAGGAUGACGCUGAUGGGGAAGAAAGGAACAGAAACUGCAAGCGAU